rnacentral:rRNA from 1 species
UACGUAGGGUGCGAGCGUUGUCCGGAAUUAUUGGGCGUAAAGAGCUCGUAGGCGGUGUGUCACGUCGGCCGUGAAAACCUGCAGCUUAACUGUGGGCGUGCGGUCGAUACGGGCAUCACUGGAGUUCGGCAGGGGAGACUGGAAUUCCUGGUGUAGCGGUGAAAUGCGCAGAUAUCAGGAGGAACACCGGUGGCGAAGGCGGUUCUCUGGGCCUGUACUGACGCUGAGGAACGAAAGCGUGGGGAGCGAACAGG